GAGUUUGAUCCUGGCUCAGCGCGAACGCUGGCGGCAUGGCUAAAACAUGCAAGUCGAACGCGAAAGGAGGCUUCGGCCUCCGAGUAGAGUGGCGAAAGGGCGAGGAAUACGUUCCUAACGUGCCCCAAGGUCAGGGAUAGCCCAGGGAAACCUGGAUUAAUACCUGAUGAUCCUGCAACGUCGUAUGGCGAUGCAGGCAAAAAUUUAUUGCCUUGGGAUCGGGGAACGUGCUAUCAGCUUGUUGGUGAGGUAACGCUCACCAAGGCGAAGACGGCUAGCGGUUGUGAGAGCACGACCCGCCCGCAUCGGACUGAGACACUGCCCGGACUCCUACGGGAGGCUGCAGUAACGAAUAUUCCGCAAUGCGCGAAAGCGUGACGGAGCAAUGCCGCGUGCAGGAUGAACCCCUCGGGGUGUAAACUGCUGUCAGGGUUCAGGAACACAAUGACCAGACCCAAAGGAAGGCCCGGCUUACUUCGGGCCAGCAAGCCGCGGUAAUACGAAGGCCCAAGCGUUGCGCCGGAAUUAUUGGGCUUAAAGGGUGCGUAGGCGGACCCGCAAGUGCCUUGUGAAAGCCCUCGGCUCAACCGAGGAAUUGCUUGGUAGACUGCAGGUCUUGAGCUCGGCAGGGGCGGUCGGAACUCUAGGUGGAGCGGUGAAAUGCGUAGAUAUCUAGAGGAACGCCAAAGGUGAAGACAGACCGCUGGGCCGACGCUGACGCUGAGGCACGAAAGCGUGGGUAGCGAACGGGAUUAGAUACCCUGGUAGUC
rnacentral:rRNA from 1 species